GGAAAGCCUUGUGGGUACCCUUGUGCUUUUCCACAUAUUCACAAAGCAAAGAGUCACAUGUUCCUGUUCCAUCUUCCUCCGUCUCUGCCACCUCCUGCGGAGACAUUCCCUGGGAAGCAGUGCUGCCCAAAGCUGUUGUAAUGUCUACUUCAGAGUGUGUGAGACAAAGUCUUUAGGUUACACAAGCAGGAAAUUUGCUUUGGCUCAAUAGCUCUGUUACAGGAAAAGGAAAGUGAAAGUUAUUAAGCGGGAAAGUGUUAUACAUCUAAGUUGUGGAGAAAGCAGAUUCAUGCCAGAAGACUUAAGGUAAACAACUUACCUGAUGAGAAAGUGGAGGACAAAUUCAAAUAUUGAAAUUGCAUAGGAGAGGAAUCAUCCUCCUGUUCACUGUUUACAGUUACUAGACUGUUCAAGAAACAAGGAAAUUGAAGUGAAAGCAGAAGUUGCAAGUGUCAAACCCCAUGUUACUGCUUUGGAUCAAUUGCAGAGCUUAGUGGGUUUAACUGUUAGAUAAAGAAUCUAAUACAGACUGACCUGUAUAUUGAGGAUACACUCCUUGACACUAUUUGGCAGAUACAUGCUAGAUCCCAAACACAUGGUAGCGUUAGGCGCUUGUAUUAGCCUGGAUAUAUGUAAUCUAAGUAUCCACGGUGGCUGUGCUAGGUCUGAACAAGGAUCCUGCAGCCCUGAGUUUUUUCUCCACAGUGGUUAUAGGUCAGGAAUAGCAAGCACUUCCCAUGAAUACUGACCUGGGUGCUAACUACAUUUAGUUUGGGGAAUUUCCUGAGGUACAUACAUUUUCUCUAUAUUUACAAAGCCAAAUAAUAGAUCUCUGUUCUGAAUUUUGUUUAGCAUUCUCUUGAGUUCAUGUCAACUUGAAGCAGCCAAUAUAUUUUGGCUAAGUUCAGCAGGUGAGUUUUUCCUUGCAUGAAGCAUUGGAGUGGGGAGGGACCCCUGGGAGGGUGAAGCACCUGGUUCCCAGUAGCUUUGUUUGGUUCCUCCCAAUCAACAGUAAUGAUCAGUCCCAUCUGUUCUUUUACACACUGCUCAGAGUUUUGUACACGUGCAUCACCUCCACUCCUAAAUAAUCUCCUUCUUAGGCCAAGGAGUCCUGUCCUGCUCAGUUGUUCUUCCAAGAGAAGUCAUUGGCCUUUGGUCACCCUUGUUGUUCUUCUCUGAACACCUCCAGUCUCACUAUCCCAUUACUGAAAAGAGGGGACCAGAGAUCUCUUUAGAAAACUCAGUAAAGGUGACAGAAGACCCUACAGUUUUUCCAGUAAUGCAAUGAAACCUGCAAGUUUCAUCCUGCUGGCAAUAAAAUCAGCUAUAUGUCAAACA